ACCCUUGUGGAGGAGGACGCCGAAGGUGGGGCUAAUGACUGGGGUGAAGUCGUAACAAGGUAGCCGUACCGGAAGGUGCGGCUGGAUCACCUCCUAACAGGGAGACAACAAAAUGUUUAAUAUUAUUAUUUUGUCACCUUAGGUCGAUCGGUAUCUCACGUUUUUAAUUUAUUAAGAAUUUCAUUUCCUAAGUUUUUCUAGGUCACACCCAUUAUUUUUCCUGGGCCAUUAGCUCAGGUGGUUAGAGCGCACCCCUGAUAAGGGUGAGGUCCCUGGUUCAAGUCCAGGAUGGCCCAUAUCUCUAUGUUGGGGGUAUAGCUCAGUUGGUAGAGCGCCUGCUUUGCAAGCAGGAUGUCAGCGGUUCGAGUCCGCUUACCUCCACUGAUUACCACCUCUUCCAUAACCGGUAGAAAGGAAAUGUUUUGAGUUGUGAUCAAAUUCUGAAAGAAUCUAGCUUCCUAAUGAAUUCAUUAAGAUGCUGGACUCAUUGAAUUAAUUUCAUUGUUUUCAGAGAACCUUGACAACUGCAUAGAUUAUUUUUAAAGACAAUAAGCAUCUUUAAUGAUGCAGAUUUAUUAUUUGUGCGAAUGCAUUAAUAACAAUUCUAUUAAGCUGAUGCUUCAAUUUUUGAAGUUAUUGGUCAAGCUACAAAGGGCUCACGGAGGAUACCUAGGCACACAGAGGCGA
rnacentral:misc_RNA from 1 species